rnacentral:rRNA from 1 species
UACGUAGGUCCCGAGCGUUGUCCGGAUUUAUUGGGCGUAAAGCGAGCGCAGGUGGUUUAUUAAGUCUGGUGUAAAAGGCAGUCGCUCAACCAUUGUAUGCAUUGGAAACUGGUAGACUUGAGUGCAGGAGAGGAGAGUGGAAUUCCAUGUGUAGCGGUGAAAUGCGUAGAUAUAUGGAGGAACACCGGUGGCGAAAGCGGCUCUCUGGCCUGUAACUGACACUGAGGCUCGAAAGCGUGGGGAGCAAACAGG